GUCAGCAUUAGGGUUUUAAACCCUAAACUGAACUUUUUUCCUUUAGUCAGCAUUAGGGUUUUAAACCCUAAACUGAACUUUUUCCUUUAGUCAGCAUUAGGGUUUUAAACCCUAGACUGAACUCUUUCCUUUAGUCAGCAUUAGGGUUUUAAACCCUAAACUGAACUUUUCCUUUAGUCAGCAUUAGGGUUUUAAACCCUAAACUGAACUUUUCCUUUAGUCAGCAUUAGGGUUUUAAACCCUAAACUGAACUUUUCCUUUAGUCAGCAUUAGGUUUUUAAACCCUAAACUAAACUUUUCCUUUAGACAGCAUUAGGGUUUUAAACCCUAAACUGAACUCUUUCAUUUAGUCAGCAUUAGGGUUUUAAACCCUAAACUGAACUCUUUCCUUCAGUCAGCAUUAGGGUUUUAAACCCUAAACCGAACUCUUUUUCCUUUAGUCAGCAUUAGGGUUUUAAACCAUAAACUGAACUCUUUUCCUUCAGUCAGCAUUAGGGUUUUAAACCCUAAACUGAACUUUUUUUUCUUCCUUUAGUCAGCAUUAGGGUUUUAAACCCUAAACUGAACUUUUUUCCCUUUAGUCAGCAUUAGGGUUUUAAACCCUAAACUGAACUUUUUCCCUUUAUCAGCAUUAGGUUUUUAAACCCUAAACUGAACUCUUUCCUUUAAUCAGCAUUAGGGUUUUUAAACCCUAAACUGAACUUUUUCUUUAAUCAGCAUUAGGGUUUUAAACCCUAAACUGAACUUUUCCUUUAGUCAGCAUUAGGGUUUUAAAACCCUAAACUGAACUUCUGUCCAUUCAGUCAGAAUUAGGGCCCCAACCCUAAACUGAACUUUUCCCCAGUUGGUCAGC
rnacentral:lncRNA from 1 species